AAUAGAUUCACGAAUAGCUUGAUCUUUGGGUACACAGAUCCCGUCCUUCAGCCAAAUAGUGCCUUUGUCAUCCAUCCGGUAAUCAGUUGCCUUGCCUCUUUUCAUUUGCUCCCGAAGAGACUCUAUUUCUGAACAUUGCACCUGUGCCUGUCUGAUCCGAUCUUCCAAGUCAUAGGUCACUUGUAAUUCACACAGCGGUCCCUACUCAAUGAUCUCCAGCUUCAGUUUCUCCAUCUCCUCAC
rnacentral:lncRNA from 1 species